UACGAAGGGGGCUAGCGUUGUUCGGAAUUACUGGGCGUAAAGCGCACGUAGGCGGAUCGAUCAGUCAGGGGUGAAAUCCCAGGGCUCAACCCUGGAACUGCCUUUGAUACUGUCGAUCUGGAGUAUGGAAGAGGUGAGUGGAAUUCCGAGUGUAGAGGUGAAAUUCGUAGAUAUUCGGGGGAACACCAGUGGCGAAGGCGGCUAUCUGGACGGUUUCUGACGCUAAGACGCGAAAGCGUGGGGAGCAAACAGG
rnacentral:rRNA from 1 species